UACGUAGGUGACAAGCGUUGUCCGGAUUUACUGGGCGUAAAGAGCGCGCAGGCGGUCGUUCAAGUCGAGUGUGAAAGCCCCCGGCUCAACUGGGGAGGGUCACUCGAUACUGAUCGACUCGAAGGCAGGAGAGGGUAGUGGAAUUCCCGGUGUAGUGGUGAAAUGCGUAGAUAUCGGGAGGAACACCAGUGGCAAAGGCGACUACCUGGCCUGUUCUUGACGCUGAGGCGCGAAAGCUAGGGGAGCAAACGGG
rnacentral:rRNA from 1 species